GGUGGCUCAGUGGUAGAGCGCUUGCCUGCAUGCAUGAGACCCUGGGUUCGAUUCCUCAGCACCA
rfam:Dipodomys ordii contig_19221, whole genome shotgun sequence.